UACGAAGGGGGCGAGCGUUGUUCGGAUUUACUGGGCGUAAAGGGCGCGUAGGCGGCCCUCCUUGUCGCGUGUGAAAGCCCCGGGCUCAACCUGGGAAUUGCGCGCGAAACGGGAGGGCUUGAGUUCGGGAGAGGAGCGUGGAAUUCCCAGUGUAGAGGUGAAAUGCGUAGAUAUCUGGAGGAACACCGGUGGCGAAGGCGGCAUCCUGGACCGGUAUUGACGCUGAGGCGCGAAAGCUAGGGGAGCAAACGGG
rnacentral:rRNA from 1 species